AUGAAGUUGUUUCUUGUUUUUUUCUUGUUACUGGCAUGUUUAUCAGGAUGUCUCUGUGAUGUGAAACUUGCCCAAUCAGAACCAGUGGUGAUAAAGCCGGGAGGGUCUCACAAACUGUCCUACACAGCCUCUGGCUUCACAUUCAGUGGUUAUUAUAUGAACUGGGUUAGACAGACUCCUGGGAAAGGAUUACAGUGGGUGUCUUAUAUUAGAGGUGAUGGGAGUAGCACAUACUAUGCUGAUUCAGUUAAAGGAAGAUUCACCAUCUCCAGAGACAAUAAUAACAACAAGUUAUAUCUGCAAAUGAACAAUCUACAAACUGAAGACACUGCCGUGUAUUACUGUGCUAGAGACACAGUGACAAAGGAACACAGAGCAGUGCAACAAAAACAUUUAUACUGA